ACGGAAAACGGAAGGAUCAAGAAUAAUGAUAGGGAUCAAAGAUUUUCGUUUUGGAAUGUCAAGUAAAAGUAAAUGUGUCCUCAUCUAGAGGUUAUAAACACAAAAAAAAUGGAGUGUUUGCCUAUCGCCUACCGGCCUGCGUACGCAUGUUGUCAAAUAUCAAAUUGCCAAAUUGAGUGGUUUUGUGCAAAAUUUUUCCAUCCCUUUAUAAACAAGCACUUGCUCAUAUGUAGAGAUGAAUCGAUACCCCAAAGUAUCGAUUGCUUACUUGUUUGAGUACUAUCGAAUCGGAUAUCGAUACGGUUAAUUUUAUCAUUUAAAAGUAUCAAUACUUGUAUCGAAUCAAAACUU
rnacentral:lncRNA from 1 species